CAUUUCCUUCCUUCUUCGCUAAGCAAAAUCACUCGUCUCGCUCUGCUCUGCAAACAAUUUCCCUAGCCAUGCAAGAAACAGAGCUCCACGAUUUAUCUGACGACGCAGAUUACGCUGCUUCUAUACAGCAAGGAUCGGCGAGUGUCAUGAUGAGGAGCAAUAGCAGUAAGCGAAGCUCGUCCAGCGAACCAGAAAGCGCCGAAGUUGUGUAUUUGAAGGAUAACGUGGCGAUUCAUCCAACUCAGUUCGCAUCUGAGAGAAUUAGUGGAAGAUUGAAACUUAUAAAGCAAGGUUCCUCUCUCUUUAUGACAUGGAUUCCAUACAAAGGACAAACCUCGAACGCGAGAUUGUCUGAGAAAGAUAGGAAUCUUUACACCAUAAGGGCUGUGCCUUUUACAGACGUCCGUUCCAUUCGUCGACACACUCCAACUCUUGGGUGGCAGUACAUAAUUGUCGUUUUGUCAUCAGGACUUGCAUUUCCUCCUCUUUACUUCUACAAUGGAGGAGUCAAAGAGUUCCUUGCUACAAUAAAGCAACAUGUUUUUAUUGUCAGGUCAUUGGAAGAUGCAAAUGUAUUUCUGGUCAAUGAUUUCCAAAAUCCUCUGCAGAGAACUUUGUCAUCUUUGGAGCUUCCCAGGGCCAUUCCUAUGGCAAGUGGGGCAUCUGCAUUUGCUUCAGCUGGUGGAUCUCCACCUUAUGAAAACCAGGAGAGCGCUGAUUGGGAUGCCAACAAUGAAAGUUCUAGCAUUUCUCAAAAUGUCAGGAGGCAGAGGCAAAAGAGCAAUGAUCCUGCUCGAGAUCUCUCAAUCCAAGUAUUGGAAAAAUUCUCUCUUGUAACCAGAUUUGCUCGAGAAACAACUUCACAACUGUUCCGUGAAAAUCAAAACAAUGGAUUUGGUGCAGUUGAAAGGAAAAACUAUAGCCAUUCUUCCCUCGAUAUCCCUCAAAGGGUACCGAAGGACCCAGAGGAAGUGCCUAAUCAAAGUCCUGUACCCUCAGAUCCUCUAGAGUUUGACAAGCUGACACUUGUAUGGGGAAAACCACGACAACCACCCUUGGGUUCUAAAGAGUGGGCUUCUUUCUUGGAUUCUGAAGGACGAGUUAUGGAUUCUAAAGCUUUAAGAAAGAGAAUAUUCUAUGGAGGAGUUGAGCACGCGUUAAGGAGAGAGGUCUGGGCGCUUCUGUUGGGAUAUCAUACAUAUGAUUCAACAUAUGCAGAAAGGGAAUGCCUUCGGUACAAUAAAAAGUUGGAGUAUGAAACCAUAAAAAGACAAUGGCAGAGUAUCUCUCCUGAACAGGCAAAGAGAUUUACAAAAUUUAGGGAAAGGAAGGGCCUUAUAGACAAAGAUGUGGUGAGGACUGAUAGAUCACUUUCUUUCUAUGAUGGAGAUGACAAUCCAAAUGUGAAUGUUUUAGGUGAUAUACUAUUGACAUACUCAUUCUAUAACUUUGAUCUUGGCUACUGUCAGGGUAUGAGUGAUUUACUGUCUCCAAUUUUCUUUGUGAUGGAGGAUGAAUCAGAAUCAUUUUGGUGUUUUGUGGCACUGAUGGAACGUCUUGGACCCAACUUCAAUCGUGAUCAAAGUGGCAUGCACUCUCAACUUUUUGCGUUAUCUAAGCUGGUAGAGUUACUAGACAGUCCAUUGCAUAACUA
rnacentral:misc_RNA from 1 species